rnacentral:rRNA from 12 species
GGCGACUUAUAAGUAGUGGCAGGUUAAGGCAGAGAAUGCCGGAGCCAUAGUGAAAGCGAGCCUAAAUAGGGCAUAUGUCACUGGUUAUAGACCCGAACCCGGAUGAUCUAACCAUGGUCAGGUUGAAGCUUAGGUAAUACUAAGUGGAGGACCGAACCGACUGAUGUUGAAAAAUCAGCGGAUGAACUGUGGUUAGGGGUGAAAUGCCAAUCGAAUUCGGAGCUAGCUGGUUCUCCCCGAAAUGCGUUUUGGCGCAGCGAUAAAUGUUAUAACUUAGGGGUAAAGCACUGUUACGUAUGCGGGCUGGUAAUUCGGUACCAAAUCGUUGCAAACUAAGAAUACUAAGUGUACAGUUUAUCAGUGAGACUGUGGGGGAUAAGCUCCAUUGUCAAGAGGGAAACAGCCCAGAGCACCAGUUAAGGCCCCUAAAUAAUUGCUAAGUGGUAAAGGAGGUGGGAGUGCAUAAACAAUCAGGAGGUUUGCUUAGAAGCAGCAAUCCUUUAAAGAGUGCGUAAUAGCUCACUGAUCGAGUAAACCUGCGCCGAAAAUGUAUGGGACUAAGUAAUUUGCCGAAACUGUGCGAUAUAUUAAAAAUAUAUCGGUAGGGGAGCGUUCUGUUGUAGAUUGAAGUAUUAGCGGAAGCGGAUAUGGACGAAGCAGAAGUGAGAAUGUCGGCUUGAGUAACGAAAAUAUAGGUGAGAAUCCUAUACCCCGAAAACCCAAGGUUUCCUCCGGAAGGCUCGUCCGCGGAGGGUAAGUCAGGACCUAAGGCGAGGCUGAAAAGCGUAGUCGAUGGACAACGGGUUAAUAUUCCCGUACCAUUAUUUAUUGAUAACGAGGGACGGAGAAGGCUAAACUGGCCGGAUAUUGGUUUACCGGUUUAAACGUUCAAGAUGAUGAGAGACGGCGAAAACGUUUUGAGUUGAGGCGUGAGUACGAGAUGCUACGGCGUCGAAGCAGUGUAUGUCAGACUUCCAAGAAAAGCUCGCAAUGUCGCAGAUAAAUAAUGCCUGUACCAUAACCGACACAGGUGGGUAGGUAGAGUAUACUAAGGGGCGCGAGAUAACUCUCUCUAAGGAACUCGGCAAAAUGACUCCGUAACUUCGGGAGAAGGAGUGCCUUAUUUAUAAGGUUGCAACAACAAGAUCCAAGCAACUGUUUACCAAAAACACAGGUCUCCGCUAAGUCGUAAGACGAUGUAUGGGGGCUGACGCCUGCCCAGUGCCAGAAGGUUAAAGAAGUUGGUUAGCAUUAGCGAAGCUUAUAACUGAAGCCCUGGUGAACGGCGGCCGUAACGAUAACGGUCCUAAGGUAGCGAAAUUCCUUGUCGGGUAAGUUCCGACCCGCACGAAAGGCGUAAUGAUUUGGAUACUGUCUCGGAGAGGGGCUCGGUGAAAUAGACUUGUCUGUGAAGAUGCGGACUACCUGCACCAGGACAGAAAGACCCUAUGAAGCUUUACUGUAACUUGAAAUUGAAAUUGGACUUUAUUUGCGCAGUAUAGGUGGGAGGCGUUGAAAAUAUUCUUGUGGGAAUAUUAGAGCCAUCAGUGAGAUACCACUCUUGUAAUGUUAGAUUUCUAACUUUGAAUCAUUAUCUGGUCAAAGAACAGUUUCAGGCGGGCAGUUUGACUGGGGCGGUCGCCUCCCAAAUGGUAACGGAGGCGUACAAAGGUUUCCUCUGAACGUGUAGAAAUCGUAUCUAGAGUGUAAAGGCAUAAGGAAGCUUGACUGUGAGACUUACAAGUCGAGCAGGGACGAAAGUCGGUCUUAGUGAUCUGACGGUACUGAGUGGAAAGGCCGUCACUCAACGGAUAAAAGUUACUCUAAGGAUAACAGGCUGAUCUCCCCCAAGAGUUCACAUCGACGGGGAGGUUUGGCACCUCGAUGUCGGCUCAUCGCAUCCUGGGGCGGUAGUACGUCCCAAGGGUUGGGCUGUUCGCCCAUGAAAGCGGUACGCGAGCUGGGUUCAGAACGUCGUGAGACAGUUCGGUCCAUAUCCGGUGUAGGCGUUAGAAUAUUGAGAGGAGCCUUCUUUAGUACGAGAGGACCGAGAAGGACGUACCUCUGGUGUACCAGUUAUCGUGCCAACGGUAAACGCUGGGUAGCUAUGUAUGGAGAGGAUAACCGCUGAAAGCAUCUAAGUGGGAAGCCCACCUCAAGAUAAGUAUUCUCAUCACGUAAGUGAGUAAGGUCACGGUAAGACUAACCGUUUGAUAGGCAUUAAGUGUAAAUGUAGUAAUAUAUGAGCUGAGAUGUACUAACAGACCGAGGACUUG